GUUUAAUGGAUUUAGGAUGGAGGUUUAGAUAAGCUAACUAUACUUUCACUACUAUUGUUCUUUCAAUUGGAUGAUUUACUGUUGUUAGUUUUGAAAUGAUAUUAAUUUUUAUGUUCUAUAUACUUUAUUUGUUCUAUAGUUUCAAAUUUAGGUAAUUGACUGCGACAGCUUCAAGGUAUGAAUCUAAUCAUGGGAUGAAUAAUAGAAUGCUGUAAUUGCUUUGGUUUCUUGAGUUAGUGUGAAAAUGUUCAAAUGGAUAAACCUAGGAAAGGAUAGGUUGUUGUAAUUGCUUCGGUUUUUUUUUUUUUUUUGGUGAAAAAUGUAACAAAGUUUUAGUCUUUCAAUUCCAUUUAUGAUGUCAAAAUGUUAUAGUUUUCAAUUUAUGUACAAAUUUGGGUUAGUUGAUGCACUUAUCUGGGUAGGUGAGAGUUUUUGUUAUUUCUUUCUUUCGUUAAUUGAAGCUCAUCUGAUUCAAUUGUUCAUGUGUGGAAUUUGGUUUUGUAACUUCUUUGUUUAUGAUUGCAGAGAUGGAGCUAUCCCUGGUCUCACUUGAAAGAAACCUCCUUAAAGGGAUGAAGAAGCCGUGAAGAAAUCAACGCUGGUCUGCGCCGAAACAUUGAAGAACGAGGCAAUCCAAGGAUCUUUUCUAGAAGCAUACUACACCACAGUAAGGACUGCUGCCUUCUUCCUUGCCUAGCAGUUUUUGGUUUCUCAACUUUCUCUCUAUUUACUUUCCUUGCUGCUGCCUCCAUGCACUUUGGCAUCCGUUGCUGUGACAGGCAAGCAGAAAAACAUGGAACUACAUCAUCAUCAUCAGCACCAUUGUCAGCUGCUAAAUAGAAAAACAAUUGAAUUGAAAUAGCUAUGUUAUAUAGCUUUUGCUAGACUAAUCAAUUUCGUGCAGCUGCAACUACAACUCCAAUCGGAGCCGUCACUUUUUUGAACCAACACUAGCAUUUUACAAAGCUGCAACUGAAACAACCAACUGGAGUACUUUGUACAAACUGACUCCUUAAAUUCACUCCAGCAGCUCCUUUUGAUAGAUUAACCUAUCUCUUAUAUCCUUUUUGUAAAGCUACAACUAGAAUAGCUAGCCUUUUUGUGCAGCUAGCAUGUUUGCAUCAUCUCCUUUCAAAUAGACUGCAGCUAAAAUCUAAGAUGUAUGAAAACUGUUUUCACUAUUUGAAUGAAAUGUGAUGAUUUUC